GACGAACGCUGGCGGCGUGCUUAACACAUGCAAGUCGAACGGAAAGGCCCUGCUUUUGUGUGGUGCUCGAGUGGCGAACGGGUGAGUAACACGUGAGUAACCUUCCCUUGACUUUGGGAUAACUUCAGGAAACUGGGGCUAAUACCGGAUAGGAGCUCCUGCUGCAUGGUGGGGGUUGGAAAGUUUCGGCGGUUGGGGAUGGACUCGCGGCUUAUCAGCUUGUUGGUGGGGUAGUGGCUUACCAAGGCUUUGACGGGUAGCCGGCCUGAGAGGGUGACCGGCCACAGUGGGACUGAGAUACGGCCCAGACUCCUACGGGAGGCAGCAGUGGGGAAUAUUGCACAAUGGGCGGAAGUCUGAUGCAGCAACGCCGCGUGCGGGAUGACGGCCUUCGGGUUGUAAACCGCUUUCGCCUGUGACGAAGCGUGAGUGACGGUAAUGGGUAAAGAAGCACCGGCUAACUACGUG
rnacentral:rRNA from 1 species